rnacentral:rRNA from 1 species
AGCGAACGCUGGCGGCAGGCUUAACACAUGCAAGUCGAGCGGGCCCUUCGGGGUCAGCGGCAGACGGGUGAGUAACACGUGGGAACGUACCCUUUGGUUCGGAAUAACGCUGGGAAACUAGCGCUAAUACCGGAUACGCCCUUUUGGGGAAAGGCUUGCUGCCGAAGGAUCGGCCCGCGUCGGAUUAGCUAGUUGGUGGGGUAAUGGCCUACCAAGGCGACGAUCAGUAGCUGGUCUGAGAGGAUGAUCAGCCACACUGGGACUGAGACACGGCCCAGACUCCUACGGGAGGCAGCAGUGGAGAAUAUUGGACAAUGGGCGCAAGCCUGAUCCAGCCAUGCCGCGUGAGUGAUGAAGGCCUUAGGGUUGUAAAGCUCUUUUGUCCGGGACGAUAAUGACGGUACCGGAAGAAUAAGCCCCGGCUAACUUCGUG